UGUCCACGCCGGGUUUCGAAGGGAGCUCAGGGAGAGGCCUGAGAGCAAACCUGAGGCCGUUCUUUCUUUCAUUCGUUCAGCUUGGAAAUCCGAAGUCAAAACUGAAUGGAACUGCCGUUCUAACCAGUUCAUUUACCUGAGCCGCAAUUUUCUCUUUAGUAGAAUGGGCCAAAUGAUACCACCUGGAUUAUACGUAAAGUUGCAAUAUGUCAAGUACCUAGCACACCCCAGAUCUUCCACCCUGCUCCCCUCCAGAUGAGAACACAAAGGCUCAGAGAGAUAAAGUCACUUGUCUGUGACCACACAGGCAGGAAGUUGCAGCGCUGGAGACAAUCCUGAGAAUGAUUUCUGAUUGACACGCUCCAUGGCAACUCUAUCAGGUAUGUGU